rnacentral:SRP_RNA from 1 species
GACCGGGUCCUGUGCGACGGGCGCCCGUGAACCAGGUCAGGCCCGGAAGGGAGCAGCCUUCAUCGGCAUCGCUCGUGCGCCGCAGAUCGCCUGGUCGUC